rnacentral:tRNA from 1 species
GCCUUGGUGGCGUAGUGGUCAGCACGCUCGACCAAAAAGAGGUCCGUGGUUCGAUUCCCGGCGAAGGCG